AAGCUAUCCUCCAUUGGGAGUUAAAAUUUGUUGGAAGGAGAUUUUGGAGUGGUUGUUAAUCAAGUUCCUUGGGGUCGUUUCUUCAAAUCGCGGUCAUCGUUUGGCUGUCGGAGUUUAUCUGUGGAAUUUCGAUUAAGGUAAGGGUAGAGAUGCACCGGCGAUGGCUCAGCGGAAUUCGUGAUUAUGCCACUGGG